AUUUUCGUCUCAAUUUCACUGUAUAUAAACCUAAGUCUCAAAGACUAUUGGUAUCAGUUAAAAAAUGAAAUUCACAUUGUUAGCAGUUUUAGCUCUUUUGAGCACAUUCAUGAUGACAGGAGUCGUUGCCGAUUCUUGCCGAAAAGAAGGACAGAGUUGCAGUCGAAACAGGCAGUGCUGUAGCAAUAAUUGCAAUCAAAAAAGAGGAGUGUGCAAGUAAACAUCAUCACGAGAUGAUAAUAUUUUAAGAUGUUAAUGGUAUAUAGAUCGUCGCAAGUUUCAAAUGACUAAACUCUACACUACUAAUGAAUGUUCAACAUCCAAAACCGCUGACAAUUUUUUUUGUUGCCAAAAAAUUGUUAAUAAAUCAACUCUGUAUUAAUUUUUUUUAAUAACUGUUAUAAUAUCUUACAUGUACACUAAAGAAAAUAAAUAUUCCUUUACGCAUUAA